CAGUAGCCGCGGGAACACGAAGGGGGCUAGCGUUGUUCGGAUUUACUGGGCGUAAAGGGCGCGUAGGCGGACUGAUAAGUCAGGGGUGAAAUCCCAAGGCUCAACCUUGGAACUGCCUUUGAUACUGUUUGUCUUGAGUUCGAGAGAGGUAAGUGGAACUGCGAGUGUAGAGGUGAAAUUCGUAGAUAUUCGCAAGAACACCAGUGGCGAAGGCGGCUUACUGGCUCGAAACUGACGCUGAGGCGCGAAAGCGUGGGGAGCAAACAGGAUUAGAUACCCGAGUAGUCCCUGUCUCUUAUAA
rnacentral:rRNA from 1 species